rnacentral:misc_RNA from 1 species
UUAGAACAGCUUCAAGGAGUUUGAGGAAUAGUCUACUGUUCUUCAAUUCUUCACUGGCUACCUCAAGGGUUUGGAAGGAUUUCCUCAAAUCUUUUACUUCGCCAUCAAAAUUUGCUCUGUAAAGCAUGACUUCUACUCUUUUAAAGGCAAAUGGUAUAUCAAGCACGGUCUUAAGGAAUCGUUCUGCAGAGCCUAACUUUG